rnacentral:lncRNA from 1 species
GGAUCCCCCUUUUAGAUGACAAAUCCGUUCCUGUGUUGUCGAGGGUGUGCAAGUCAAGAAAGGAAGAGAUCAAUCGCAAAAUAAAUGGAUCUUUCACUAUGGAUUCCCAUUUUCUUAAGAGACAAGAGCGAGAAAAGGUAAUUAAAGAAGGAGAUAAAUCAAUAAGCAAAAGUAGCUCUACCUUACCCCAGCCAACAACUGUCCUGCAGAAGUCCUUCUCAUUCUGACAUUCGCCACUAUAACUAAAAGAAUGUGACUUAUAGACCCCUGAAUUACUAAAACUUCAAUUUAGAAGACCCCCA